rnacentral:rRNA from 1 species
AUUGAACGCUGGCGGCAUGCCUUACACAUGCAAGUCGAACGGCAGCACGGGAGCAAUCCUGGUGGCGAGUGGCGAACGGGUGAGUAAUGUAUCGGAACGUACCUUUCAGUGGGGGAUAACGUAGCGAAAGUUACGCUAAUACCGCAUAUUCUGUGAGCAGGAAAGCAGGGGAUCGCAAGACCUUGCGCUGAUUGAGCGGCCGAUAUCAGAUUAGCUAGUUGGUGAGGUAAAGGCUCACCAAGGCGACGAUCUGCAGCGGGUCUGAGAGGAUGAUCCGCCACACUGGAACUGAGACACGGUCCAGACUACUACGGGAGGCAGCAGUGGGGAAUUUUGGACAAUGGGCGCAAGCCUGAUCCAGCCAUGCCGCGUGAGUGAAGAAGGCCUUCGGGUUGUAAAGCUCUUUCGGCCGGGAAGAAAUCGUGUGGGUUAAUACCCUGCAUGGAUGACGGUACCGGAAUAAGAAGCACCGGCUAACUACGUGCCAGCCGCCGCAGUAACAC